UCAAGAGUCUUUCUCUCCUUAUCCCCCGAGCAUUUCGGUCCCUCGUGAUUCGACUUCUCUUUCUGUAGUUUUAGUAUAGUAAGGUGAGCGCUGAAGCGCUGCACGAAUCUUUCUUAGAAAGAUUUAGCGACGAAGUUCUGCCCCUACAGAGCCCGACUCCUAGCUAAAAUCCCCUUGUAAGUUUCGUCGAAGGAAAUUAUUUUAAAGUAAACGAAGCGCUGUCCGAGUACCGAGUCACCACCUUCUCAAGUGUUGAUAUGAAGUGACACUACACUGAGAGAUUUAAAGAGAUGUAGAUCACUAGUGUAAAUAAUUGUAUAUUAUUGUGACACCCGGCUCCAUCCCGUACUUGAGGCUAAUACGAUCCUUGUGAUAACUACUUGUAUUUCAUAGUGCUAAUGUACACCAAGAAUGUUGUAAAAUUUUAAAUGAGUAAGGAAAUUUUUGGGGUGUGCUUCUAUGAAAUCAUGGGCGUUACAAAUUGUAGGGGGAUCGUAGCAACGAAAGUGAUUGUAAGACUAUGGGUGGAUCGUAACAUUCAUAUGGGUUGAAAUAUACCCCUAGGGUGGGGCCCACUGUUAUGCAUGGUAUCAGGUAUUUUAGGGAACUCACUAAGUUUUAUGCUUACAAUUUUAAGUUUAAAUGGUAUAGGUCUUUUUGGCAGUUCAAGAAGAGCACAACAUGAUUACAUCGCAUCUGCUGUUAUAUUUUGAAGAUGUUUCGCAUUAUAAUAUUAAUACUCUAGUUUAUGUUUUCGAAACAAUUGAAUAUUGACUUUUAUGAAUGAAUUAUAUGGUCUCCUUGGAUUUAGAUAUGAAAAUUUUGGUUUAAAAUUUGGGACUUAUAAGUUGAUAUCAGAGUCGUAGUUUUAGAGAUUCAGACGCACUCUAUAGUGUGUUUGAAAUCAAACUGAGGACCGAAGGAUUUAUUUUUACAAAAACAUUUUUUUGUAAAGUUUUUACAAAAUAAAAGGACGUGAUGCGUUCAAUAACCCGAAUCUCAAGUAAGUGAUUUCCAGAAUAACCCAUACAUGUUGAUAUGUUAUAUGUGUUAUAGUAUGAUAUGCAUGAUAGAAGUUAGAAUAAGGAUCUGCUCAGGGUUACAUGCUAGAAUGCCUACUUAGGAGAGAUGCAUUUUUGUGUCUAAUAUGUGAAUUGUUAGAGAUGCAUGAUAGUGUGUACGCUAAGGAUCUUCAAGAAUUACAUUGUAACACCCGAUUCCUGGUACGUAUUUAAACUUAAUUAAUUGUAUGUUUUUACACCGGGACUCGGCGAGUUAGAGACCCAACUCGUCGAGUGGACUAGACUGUUGGACGCAGCUUUUAAGUAACCUACUCGACGAGUCGGAGAGCCGAAUCGGCGAGUAGGACUGUCUGGAUGAAACCCUAAUAUUUAGGGUUUGCACCCUAUUUAAAAACCUUAUCUUGUCCCAACCCAGCCUCCAUCGUCCCUCCUCGUCCAUAGAAGCCCUAAUUUGAAACCCUAAUCAAUUAUUGAUUGUUCUUGAGCUUUUUGGUGCCUUUUGUGUGUUCAUGAAGUUAGAAAAGAAGAAGGAAGCUUGAGAGAUCAAGAGGAAGCAAGAAGAUCCAUAAGUUUUGGCGCAUUUCCAACUCAUUUGAUGUAUAAAGUUGAAACCUUGACCAUCUAUCUUUUAGAUCUCUAGUUAGGGUUCAUUUCUACCUUUUCUAACUUUAAAAGUGCCAUAUUCGGGAUUUUGGGGUUAUCAAGGGGUAUGACUUCAGAUUUGGAACCAUUGAGGGUUCCUAUGGCAUAAAGGUGUCAACUUUAUUGCCACAAGAGCCCCAUGCAUCUUGUAGACUCCAUUUUAGGGCCAUUUUGUCACACCCCAAAACCAUGAACGGUGGAAAUGUUCUGGGGCGGAGGACGUCAUGUACAGUAUCACAACAAUGAAUAGUAGUAAACAAGCAACAACA